GAUGAACGCUGGCGGCGUGCCUAACACAUGCAAGUCGAACGAACACACGGUGAGCUCGUUCCCCUACCGUUGGCGGCGGACGGGCGAGUAACGCGUGCAUCACCUACCUCUAUGUCGGGGAUGACAUCGGAGAACAGCUUACAAUAAUAGCUAAUAUGACGUACGGCUUGAAUCAACAGAUCUAGACGGCUUUCCCGACUCUUUUAGCUGAAUCCGGGCCGGAUUAGUUAGUUGGUAAGGUAACGGCAAACCAAGGCAACGAUGCGUAGCCGACCUGAGAGGGUGAUCGGCCACACUGGAACUGAGACACGGUCCAGACUCCUACGGGAGGCAGCAGUGGGGAAUAUUCCGCAAUGGGCGAAAGCCUGACGCAGCAACGCCGCGUGAGUGAAGAAGGUCUUCGGAUCGUAAAACUCUGUUAUUAGGAAAGAACAAAUGUGGAAGUAACUAUGCACGUCUUGACGGUACCUAAACAGUAAGCAACGGCUAACUUCGUG
rnacentral:rRNA from 1 species